AGGUGUCCGCACGCAUCUGCUCCCUGGCACCCUCUCGAGGAGCCCCUGAGGAUUCGUGCCUCCCAGAGGUGGGGAAAGCCCGCCCGAGGCUUCGGUGCUGACGGUGGCGGGGCUGCCGGGCACGCUGUGGAACCGCCUCCCGCUAGAGCUGUGGGCUGGUGACGGUCCCGCGGGGGCGGGAAGCGGCUCAGGCUGCCCUCCUGGCCUGCGGCAGUGCGUCUGGGAGCGCGGGCCACUCGUGCGCGGGUCACUCGGGGCUGUGCCUCGCGCGACUGUGUGUGCAGGAAACAAGCAGGAAAUACCCUAAAAUGGAAUGAAGCGCCAUGUUGAGGGCCGCGGACGUCGCGAGUGCUGUGGGAAUGUGGGCCAAGGUGGAGAGUUAUGGUGGCGCGUGUUACAGGGUCAGGAGUCAGGAAGAAGCCUAAUCAUGGAGCCGGCAUCUGAGGAGGGUCUUGAACGCUGGGCAGGCUUUUGCCCAAUAGAGAUGGAGGAAGCUAGUCCUGUCUGAUGGAGGAAACAGGGCAGAGGCGUGGAGGGAGACGCGCAGUGCUGGUGUGAGGAGCCGCGAGCAGGCCAGGCCUGUAAAUCAGCGUGAUGGGAACCAGGAUAGAGAAGAUACUGCAUAGUGGAUGGAUUAGUUUGUGGUUCCUGGGAUCUUCUGUGUAUUCUGUUGAAGCUCAAUAAUCACAUUACUGCGGACCUCCAAAAUUUUACAAAGGACUGCACAGUGAGUAUUCAGCCGAUAAACUAAACCACAGCUUAAUACUGUGAGAUGAAAAAAAGUACACCAAUUAAAAGUAAACACUGUUUAAACCUACCUCAAUGAAUUUCUAAAGUGUCAUACAUUUAUUAUAUUCUCUACUUGUACAAUAUUUUGUUGUGUGUAUUGCCAAGUAUUUCAGGAUUUUAUGGGUAUAAUGUAUUCUAUUAAUUUAACUGGAAAACUUGUAGUUAUUCAACAAGCAAACUAAAAGUGUUGGCAGAGAUGUAAUUUUAAAGCACAAUCCCACUCAUUCCUUCAGUAUUACAGCUGCUCCUUGUUUGUUUAAUAAUAGAACUGAUGAGUAGUUAAUUUGAGAGGAAAGCUGGUGCAGGUGUAGUGCUAUUUGGAUGUCAUGGAGGACACAUGUGACAUCUGCAGCUAGCUAUAUGGUAAAAGCAAAACAGAAGUUAAAAUCAGCCCUGUGUCAAAUCUGCAUAGUUUUAGGCUUCAGGGAGUGUCUCUGUAUGUUGAGGCAGGAAGUUUAGUAGAAUUCCAAGGAAGUAAGAGAGGAACAAACAUUUGUAGAUUUUGCCUUCUAUGGGGGAACUCAUUCAAUCAUCAGGAGAACUCUUCAAUAAGCUUUAUUUGCUACGGUUUACCUAGAUGAAAAAUUGAGACCCAGAAUCCAUGCUUUUCUUUCCUGGUUACACAUUAGAAUCACCAAUGUGACAUUAAAACACACACACACACACACACACACACACACACUGCACACCCAUUAGGAUGGCUGCUAUCAAAAAAGAAAAAAACAGAAAAAUCAGGGGCCAGACACGCUGGUUCACACCUGUAAUCCCAGCCCUUUGGGAUCACCUGAGGUCGGGAGUUUGACAGCAACCUGGCCAACAUGGUGAAACCUCAUCUGUACCAAAAAAUAAAAUAAAAUAAAAUAAAAACAACACACACACACACACAAUUAGUCGGGCAUGGGGGCACACGUGUAAUCUCAGCUAAUUGAGAGGCUGAGGCACGAGAAUCGCUUUAACCUGGGAGGCGGAGGUUGCAGUGACCGAGAUCACGCCACUGCACUCCAGCCUGGAGACAGAAGGAGACUCGGCCUCAAAACAAAACAAAACAAAAACACCCAGAAAAAUAACGAGUGCUGACAAGGAUGUGGAAAAAUUGUAACUCUUGUGCAUUGAGGGUGGGUAUGAAAAAUAGCACAUCAGCUGUGGAAAACAUACCGUUCCUCAAAAAUUUAGACAUAGAAUUACCAUAUGAUUCAGUAAUCCCACUCACAUCUAUAAAUCUCUAUAUCUGUAUCUUUAUCUACCUAUAUCUAUCUUCAAAAGAAUGGAAAGCAGUUACUCAAAUAGAUACUUGUACACCUGUGUUCUCUCCCCACCCACCCCCCUUUUUUUUUUUUUUUUUAAUAAAUGGGCUCUCACUAUGUUUCCCAGGCUGGAGUGCAGGGGCUGUUUAUAGGCAUGAUCCCCCUGCUGCGGAGCUGUCCACAGGCACGACCCCCUGCUGAGGGGCUGUCCACAGGCAUGACCCCCUGCUGUGGGGCUGUUUACAGGCACGAUCUCCCUGCUGCGGGGCUGUCCACAGGCAUGACCCCCUGCUGGUCAAACUGGGAGUUGUGCCCUGCUUUGUCUCCAAUCCAUGCCGGUUUGCCCCUCCUUAGGCAACCUGGUAGUCCCUUAUCCCAGGAGGUCACUGUACUAAUGUCUAAUUUCGUGUAGACAUCUGAUCAACACAGCACACUGCAGCUCAGGACUCCUGGGCUCAAGUGAUCUUCCUGCCUCAGAUGCCUGAGUAGCAGGAACUACAGGCGCAUGCCACCACACCUGCCUGCUACACCUGUGUUCAUUGCAGCAUCACAGCAGCCUUAUUUACAGGAACCACAAAGUGGAAACAACCUAAAAAGUCUAUUGAGGGAUAGAUGGAUAAACAAAAUGUGGUAUAGACAUAAAAUGGAAUAUUAGUGAUCUUUGAAAAGGGAAGGAAUUCUGAUGCUUGCUACCACAUAGAUAAAAACAUUAUGCUAAGUGAGACGUCAAACACAGACUACCUGAUUCCAUCUAUAUGAAGAACCUGGAACAGGCAAAUUAAUAGAGACACAAAGUAGAAUAGAGGUUUUCAGGACUGGCAGGAGGUGGAAAUGGGCGAGGUUAGUGUCUAAUGGGCACCGAGUUCCUGUCUGGGAUGAUAGAAUGUUUCGGAAAUGGAUAGUGAUGAUGACUGCACAGCAUUGUGAAUGUAGCUAAUGACGUUGAAUUCUUUACCAGAAAACAAAAACAAAAACAGAAACACAUUGCUUAAGCUUCCAGUCCGACAGGUGACAUGCUUGGUGUGAGCUGGGGCCUAAGCCCAGGCUGCCCUCGCCAGAGCUGCUUCAAGACCCCUCUUGGUUGUACUUAGUCCUGAUUGCUCUGGAGAGCCCCAUACAUGAAAGCCAGCUCUGGUUCUAUCUCUUCUCACUCCAGUCCUCCCUGCCCCCACCAUCCCCCAGCUGGGCAUUAUGAGAAAAGAAAGAUGACUAUGAGUUUUCUGAUUAUUUAUAUGACCAAAUAAUCUCAAGGACUAUUGCUAACUAACCCAUGGGACUCCCACUACCUUCAUGAGGCUCGGUUGAGGUGAAGGGUCCCUAAAAUCAUGCCACCUAGUCAGGAGCUCAGUUGUCAAUAAUUUCUUUAUUUGUGAUACAAGCAGCGGUGGGGAAAGAGAAAUGAACAGACUUGGAAGCUUCUCCGAGGCCCUAGAGAAGACCUCUGGGUUCCGAACACCAGACACCAGGAGUAAGGAGGGUAGUUGAUGACUCCCCACUCUUUCUCCAGCCCCUGCUCCUCUGUUUUUCCCCUUCACCCACUGCAGCUUCCUCAGGUCCUGGGUCCCACGCCAUCAUCUCUUCGAAUGACCUCCCUUCUAUUCCUGUUAAUAAAGGAGCAUCAGCUAAGUGAACAUGGUGAUUUGCAUUCACUUACAUUGAUUCAGAAAUUGUGUUUAAUUCCACACAAGAAAAAGAAUGUGGAUCUGUUUCACUGGGAAAAAAAGUUGCCAUGUAUCAUCAUAAUCAUGUUUUCCUGGGAUAUAAUCUAUACGUGACGCCCAUUUAAGCCUUCAUUGCAUCUGUGCACGUGGUUUGCUUUCCUCUCAUGUGAAAUAGUGUUGGACCACACGGGUUUGGGCCACAGCCCAGGAAGACACAAUCCUGAACGUCAUAAUCCCAAAUGUUGAAGUCCCAUAAGAUCUAAAUCUGUACAGUCUAAAAUCCUGAAAAUUACAAUCCUAAAAAAACAAAAUUCUCAAAAUACAAUUCUGGAAAAAAAUUAUUAACACAUUCUUUAAGAAGAAUUUAUUGGGCAGCACAUGGUGGCUCAUGCCUUUAAUCCCAGCACCUUUGGAGGCCGAGGUGGGUGGAUCACAAAGUCAGGAGAUGGAGACCAUCCUGGCUAACACGGUGAAACCCCAUCUUUACUAAAAGUAGAAAAAAUUAGCCAGGCAUCGUGACGGGUGCCAGUAGUCCCAGCUACUCGGGAGGCUGAGACAGGAGAAUCGCUUGAACCCAGGAGGUGGAAGUUACAGUGAGCUGCAAUCGCACCACUGCACUCCAGCCUAGGCGACAGAGUGAGACUCUGUCUAACAACAACAACAAAAAACAUUUAUUUAUAUUUUUAAGAUGGAAUUUAUUUGAGAAACGUAUAAAAACACAACAGAACCCUUCCUAGGCCACUUUACACAAUCAAUAGGCAAUAAUAACAUGCAUAUAUUUGCAAGCGUAAAACUCAGGUAUGCUAACGAUAGUUUCACGGGUAUAAUGGUAAUGAGCAGAUGAGUUGUAUUUGUAAAGAAAUGGGUCAAAAAGCAAAAUAUAUAAAAGCAUGGUUGGUAACUGGGUGCACUCAGCUUUAUAACUUAGGUCAUCUGGAAUACUGUGACGGACAACCUAAGUCUUUUGACCAGAUUCAUCAAAAGCUGGGAUGUGUCACCAUCUAAUAUUCAGUCAAAGAGCUGAGAUCCUAAGGAAUUUUCUUUUCCCAAAUGCAAAUGUGCAAAAGGAUCUCUUCUCAUUUAUUGAGGAAACUUUAAUGUUUUUAUGUACAUGUACAAUGCUUACACACAAAGUCAGUGUUGUGAUAAUACACUCUUGUGGAGUCAAAUUUGCAAAAAAAAAACUCAUAAAACAAAUUAGAACUCUCUAAAAGUCUUUGCAAAAUUUAUACCUCCAGUAUUGGAAAUGAUACUAAGAUGAAAUACAUAGCGUAGCAAGUUGUAAAAAAUAAUGCUGACAAUUUAAAUUAGUGGAAAAAAUGGAAAAAGAAACACUAAAAAGAAAAUUGACAUAUAAAAAGUAUAUUACAUGGAUAGAUUAUGAGCAAUUGCAGAGUUCAUCAUAGCUGGCUGGCUUUCAUGAUCAUUAACUAUAUUUUGAAGUCUUGCAUCACGAUGAAUUCUUGCCUUUUUUGUUUUUAGGAUUUGACUCUCAUAAAAUACAUUCACAUUCAUUUUCUACAUGGCACUGCUCUUUUUGAAAUUCUUCUAUAAUUUGAUACACACUGACAUGAGCAUUUCCUGUUACAUUUUCCAAUCUUCUAUGCCAUUUUUGUCUAUUGUUUUGAGUAUGUGGAAAUCCAUUUUGCAGGCCCUCAUAUACAGGCCACUCAUUUGGCAGAAACAAUACUCUUGAUUGAACAGCAACACCGUUGCCUAAAUGACUUCUUAUCCUACCUUGCACAUCAUUAUUUUCAAAUCAGCAUGUAAUAUUUCUGGCUUCUUCAGGCAAUUGUGGUUUUAAUUUAUCAAAAGCUCCUGGAAUUUUAUCAGGUGGAAGGAAUGCCAAUACAGACAAAUGACACAUUUUUAAACUAAAAUUUUCAUCAUUGCCAUAUGGCCUGGCCAAUCCACUCACCUGAAUUUUCUGGCAAAUGAGCUGGGCUGAAUGGAAGAUAUAAACUUUACUGGUAACAACUUGCAAUUCACUUUUAGAAGCCUUGAUCACACCUAAUUAAAAACUUGUCAUUAUAACUUGGGGAUCCAAUUGAAAUCUAUUUUCUUCUGCAAAGCCAUCCAAAUCUUCAAAUAAGCUUUUAUAAAGUACUUCACUUUUUCCAGUUAUUAAACCAUAAACAUGCAGUUUAAAUUACAGAAUUUUGUAAUCCAAUGGGGGCAUAAACUGCAAAAAGUUGAUUUAAAAAACCCACUGGGGACAGUUUUGAAAGUGCCGUUCAUCAGCCAAAGUGAAACAUGCACCAGUUUUGUUAUGUUAAACAAAUAUGUUUAUCUUUUUUGACAGUCAAAUCCCUAAUCAAGAAUAGUUCAUGAUUUAAUAUGUCUUGUAGCACUGGAGGAAGCUCUGUGCCAGAAGUUGUCUGGCUCAGAAGGCCACUGAAUUUGUUGAACUAUUUUUAUUACCUGACAAAAGGCAUUUUGUGAAGGCAAGCAUGGUGCUACGUGUAGAGGUGCUUGGUACAUGAUUACAUAAUUUCGCAGACAAGAUUUUGUGCAUUUUUUACUUUCAUUUUAACUUCUUCUGUGAUAUUCAAGACAUUCAAAACAGUGACAGCAGAUCUUCCCCACCUAGUCCGCUCAGACCCACACACUGAUCUCUUCUGAGAAAACCAUCACAGUCAUACCCAAAAUAAUGCUUUCCCAGCUUUCCAGGGAUUCCUUAAUCCAGUCAAGUUGACACCUGAAAUUAAGUCUGCAAGUCCACCCCUUGUAGAUUUGGCACUCAUAUGGACCUCCUUAAACCAUACAUAAUUUCCAAAUAAAAAGAAAACAAAGCAACAGUUGUACCUAACACGAUGCAACUAACGUGGUACAACUCUUCUGUGAUUGUGAUUUUCUGGAUUUUAGAUGUUAAGAAUUUAGACUUUAGGAUUGGGCAUGGUGGCUCAUGCCUGUGUUCCCAGCACUUUGGGAGGCCAAGUCAGGAGGAUCACUUGAGCCCAGGAGUUUGAAAUCAGCCAGGGCAAUAAAGUGAGACCCCAAGAUAUGGUUUGGCUGUGUCUCCAACCAAAUCUUAUCUUGAAUUGUAGUUCCCAUAAUCCUCACAUAUCAUGAUGGGGACCCAGUGAGAGGUAAUUGAAUCAUGGAGGCAGUUACCCCCAUGCUCUUCUCAUGAUAGUGAGUUCUCACAAGAUCUGAUGGUUUUAUAAGGAGCUUUUCCCCCUUUGCUUGCACUUCUCCUUCCUGCCACCUCGUGAAGAAGGUGACUUGCUUCCCCUUCACAUUCUACCAUGCUUGAAAGUUUCCUGAGGCCUCCCCAGCUAUGAUGAACUGUGAGUCAAUUAAACCUCUUUCCUUUAUAAAUUACCCAAGCUUGGUUAUGUCUUUAUUAGCAGCAUGAGAAUGGACUGAUACAGUAAAUUGGUACUGAGGUAGUGGGGCAUUGCGAUAAGGAUAUCUAAAAAUGUGGAAGUGAAUUUGGAACUGGGUAACAGGAAGAGGUUGAACAGUUUGCAGGGUUCGGAAGAAGACAGAAAAAUGUGAGGAAGUUUGGAACUUCCUAGAGACUUGCAGAAUGGUUUUGAGGAAAAUGCUGAUAGUGAUAUGGACAAUGAAGUCCAGGCUGAGGUGGUCUCAUAUGGAGAUGAAGAACUCGUUGGGAACUGGAGUAAAGGUGACUCUUUCCAUGCAAAGAGACUGAUGGCAUUUUGCCCCUGCCCUAGAAAUCUGUGGAACUUUAAACUUGAGAGACAUAGUUUAGGGUAUCUGGCAGAAGAAAUUCCUAAGUAGCAAAGUGUUCAAGAGGAAGCAAAGCAUAAAAGUUUUAAAAAUUUUGCAGCUUGAUGAUGAGAUAGAAAAGGAAAACCCAUUUUCUGGAGAGAAAUUCAAGUCAGCUGCAGAAAUUUGCAUAAGUAAAGAGGAGCUGAAUGUUAAUCACCAAGACAAUGGGAAAAUGUCUUCAGGGCAUGUCAGAGACCUUCAAGGCAACUCAAACCAUCACAGGCCAGGAGGCCUAGGAGGAAAAAAAUGGUUUCAUGGGCCCAGUGCAGGGACUUGCUGCUCUGUGCAGUCUCAGGACUUGGUGCCCUGUGUCCCAAUCAUGGCUAAAGGGCCAAUGUACAGCUCAGGCCAUGGCUUCAAAGGGUAAAGGCCCCAAGCCUUGGCAGCUUACAUGAGGCGUCGGGCCUGUGGGUGCACAGAAGUCAAGAAUUGAGGUUUGGGAACCUACACCUAAAUUUCAGAGGAUGCAUGGAAACGCCUGGGUGUUCAGGCACAAAUUUGUGAUGGGGACGGAGCCCUCAUAGGGAACCUCUGCUAGGGCAGUGACUGCAGAAGGGAAAUGUGGGGUCAGAGCCCCCACACAGUCCCCACUGGGGCACUGCCUAGUGGAGCUGAGAGAAGAGGGCCACCAUCCUCCAGACUCCAGAAUGGUGGACACACUGACAGCUUGCACCGUAUUGCCUGGAAAAGCCACAGACACUCAGCACCAGCCUGUGAAAGCAGCCAGGAGGAGGGCUGUACCCUGCAAAUCAACAGGGGUGGAGCUGCCCAAGGCCAUGAGAGCCCACCUCUUGCUUCAGUGUGACCUGGAUGUGAGACACGAAGUCAAAGGAAACCAUUACAGAGCUUCAAGAUUUGACUGACCCAUUGAAUUUUGGACUUGCAUGGGGCCUGCAGUCCCUUCAUUUUGGCCAAUUUCUCCCAUUUGGAACAGGUGUAUUUACCCAAUGCCUAUAUCCUCAUUGUAUCUAUGAAGUAACUAACUUGAUUUUGAUUUUACAGGCUCAUAGGAAGAAGGGCCUUGCCUUGUCUAAGAUAAGACUUUGGACUUGGACAUUUUGGUUAAUGCUGGAAUGAGCUAAGACUUUGGGGGACUGUUAGAAAGGCAUGAUCAUGUUUUAAAAUGUAAGGACAUGAGAUUUGGAAGGGGCUGGGAGCAGAAUGAUAUGGUUUGGCUGUGUUCCCACCCAAAUCUCACCUUGAAUUGUAGUUUCCAUAAUCCCUACAUGUUGUGGGAGUAACCCAGUUGGAGGUAAUUGAAUCAUGGGGGUGGUUACCCCAUGCUGGUCUCAUGACAGUGAGUGAUACCUGAAGGUUUUAUAAGGGGCUUUUCCCCUUUUGCUCAGCACCUCCUGCUGCCUUGUGAACAAGGUGACUUGAUUCUUGUUUGCAUUCACCAUGAUUCUAAGUUUUCUGAAGCCUUCCCAGCCAUGCUGAACUGUGAGUCAAUUAAAC
rnacentral:lncRNA from 1 species